rnacentral:rRNA from 1 species
UGGGGAAUAUUGGACAAUGGGCCAAAGCCUGAUCCAGCCAUGCCGCAUGAGUGAAGAAGGCCUUUGGGUUGUAAAGCUCUUUUAGUGAGGAAGAUAAUGACGGUACUCACAGAAGAAGUCCUGGCUAACUCCGUGCCAGCAGCCGCGGUAAUACGGAGAGGGCUAGCGUUAUUCGGAAUUAUUGGGCGUAAAGGGCGCGUAGGCUGGUUAAUAAGUUAAAAGUGAAAUCCCGAGGCUUAACCUUGGAAUUGCUUUUAAAACUAUUAAUCUAGAGAUUGAAAGAGGAUAGAGGAAUUCCUGAUGUAGAGGUAAAAUUCGUAAAUAUUAGGAGGAACACCAGUGGCGAAGGCGUCUAUCUGGUUCAAAUCUGACGCUGAAGCGCGAAGGCGUGGGGAGCAAACA